rnacentral:rRNA from 1 species
GAUGAACGCUGGCGGCGUGCCUAAUACAUGCAAGUCGAGCGAACAGACGAGGAGCUUGCUCCUCUGACGUUAGCGGCGGACGGGUGAGUAACACGUGGAUAACCUACCUAUAAGACUGGGAUAACUUCGGGAAACCGGAGCUAAUACCGGAUAAUAUAUUGAACCGCAUGGUUCAAUAGUGAAAGACGGUUUUGCUGUCACUUAUAGAUGUAUCCGCGCCGCAUUAGCUAGUUGGUAAGGUAACGGCUUACCAAGGCAACGAUGCGUAGCCGACCUGAGAGGGUGAUCGGCCACACUGGAACUGAGACACGGUCCAGACUCCUACGGGAGGCAGCAGUAGGGAAUCUUCCGCAAUGGGCGAAAGCCUGACGGAGCAACGCCGCGUGAGUGAUGAAGGUCUUCGGAUCGUAAAACUCUGUUAUUAGGGAAGAACAAAUGUGUAAGUAACUAUGCACGUCUUGACGGUACCUACUCAGAAAGCCACGGCUAACUACGUG